CUACGGGCCGCUGCAGUCGAGAAUCUUCCGCAAUGGACGAAGGUCUGACGGAGCGACGCCGCGUGCGGGAUGAAGGCCUUCGGGUUGUAAACCGCUGUCAGUGGGGAGGAAAUGCAUCAGGGUUCUCCCUGGUGUUUGACCGAUCCGCAGAGGAAGCGCAGGCUAAGUUCGUGCCAGCAGCCGCGGUAACACGAACUGCGCGAACGUUAUUCGGAAUCACUGGGCUUAAAGAGUUCGUAGGCGGCCUUUCAAGUCGGGUGUGAAAUCCCUCGGCUCAACCGAGGAAUUGCGCCUGAUACUGUUGGGCUUGAGGGGGAUAGGGGUGAGCGGAACUGAUGGUGGAGCGGUGAAAUGCGUUGAUAUCAUCAGGAACACCGGUGGCGAAGGCGGCUCACUGGAUCUCUUCUGACGCUGAGGAACGAAAGCUAGGGGAGCGAACGGGAUUAGAUACCCCCGUAGUC
rnacentral:rRNA from 1 species